GGAGCACGGGGUGAUCUGGGCACUAACGCUGAUGGGGAGCAGCGGACAUCAGCCUCGACCUCCCACGAGCGGUGCACGAGCGCCUGACCCAGACCUCGACCCUAGCCUUCACCCCCACCCUGACUCCAGUUCAUGAACUGGUCAAAGGAAGAGCCAUGCCAGCAAACGUCUACACUGUACAUGCUUUUUAUUACAAGACUACGGAGCAUAGGAGGAAAAUUCAUCAUCUGAUUCUUGAUGACAUUGGUCGGGAAAACUCGCCUUUCACGGCCCGGCCAAGGGGCAUUUGGGUGCUUUUGCUGCCCGUGGCUGUGCUCAGCGUUGUGGGAAGCCCCUGGGAGGCCGAAUGUGCAGGAUCACCGAGGGGAAAGUGAGCUUGACAGUUCUACAGUCUGGGGACGACGGUUUAAAAAUUUAUGCCUUGCAUGCGAUGUGCAGUGGGUGAUGGAAGAACGUCUACAUGGCUUUAAAAUUGGAUUUAAAAGGCAAAUAUUUUAAAUGAAGGAAAACCCAAGAAGUUUACUUGAUUCCUUAUCUUCCAGGAUGCGACUUUUGUUUAUUUAUUUAUUUUAUUUUGAUGGAGUCUCGCUGCCGUCGCGCAGGCUGGAGUGCAGUGACGCGAUCUUGACCCGGGAACCUCCACCUCCCGGGUUCAAGCGAUUCUCCUUCCUCAACCACCCGAGUAGCUGGGAUUACAGGCGUGUGCCACCAUGCCCGGCUAAUUUUUGUGUUUUUAGUAGAGACCGGGGAAGGUAUGGGCCCUCUUUUGAGAAAAAUGCAGAGUGACACUGAAUUUUGUAACUACAUCAGGAGGCUCUUGAACCUUCUGCAGCUCACUCGUGGAGUUUGUAGAGAUGCGUAAUAAUCCGAAGUGUUAAGGAAGAAGGUUCUGUUGAGAAAAAGUUGGAGGGCUGAAAGGGAUGCCUUUCGCUAUUUCGACAUGUGUGGCUGUACCCCAGAGUGCCCUGGCUAACACGCAAAACCAUGAAUUAGGCGGCUUGGCGAGGCUCAGUGGAGGCUGGGGCCGAGAGUCAUGUCAAAGUUUGUGGGGUUAACCUGCACCCAGUGACAGUCAUGGCGAAGUUUGUGAGGUUAACUCGCACCCAGUAACGCUGUUCCAAUGCAAGUUUUCUUCGCAUGAGAUGGCUUUUUUGCACAAAAACACUGGAAUCCAGUGAGCAAGAAUGAUAGAAUGCAAGAUGGAUUUCCACAUGAGGAAGUGUCACGAACAAGCGUUUUGCAUCUCUGUCAGCUGGAUUCCCCCAUGUGUACGUAUGUGAGAACAUGCCGUGUUUCCUGUCUGUAAUGGUAGAGGCAGCCCUGAUACUGGAUUUUCACCUGAGGAUGGAUAGAUCUUCAGGGUUCAAGUGGGUUUGCAUCUGGACUUUAGGGUGGCCCUGUAGGCCCUGUGUGAGAAGCCCCCUUCCCAGUGAACUUUCCCUUGUGUGCCCGCGUGGACAGCCAACAGGGGGAGCAGUGCGAGCGUGAAGGCAGACAGUGGCCUGGCCCAGUCUGAUGGUAAGUGGGCCAGAGGCAGUGAGUACCAUUUCUUGAUCUGACUACUCAAGACAGGCGCUUCCCUAGGUACUUUCACACCUCAUUGCGAGGUACGUGUUGUUCCCAUUUUACAGGUGCAGAAGCUGAGCUGCAGAGGCGUUAGGUACCUGCCUCAUAAGUGGUAGAGACUCCAGUGUCACCCUGCCCCUCACGUUCGGAGCCCCCGAGGGAGGGUCUGCCGGGCAGCUCAGCCCAGCACUCUGUAAGGAAAUCUUCAGUGCCACUGCCCAGGAUGUCUUCCCGGGGAUUGGGCCUGAAUGUCUUGACCAUGCCGUGCUGGAGGGAGAGACCCACCGACCCUGUGGGGCUGGUCCCUACAUCUGGCGCUCUGACGUGGGGCUCUCCCUCGCUGUGUGAAGUUGCACCCUGAGUGCGGGAUCAGCGGAGGAGUUCAACGAGAGAUUCCUGAGGAUUGCAGUCUAUAAACUUGGUGGUAAGCUUGAGCACUCAGUUUUCUGGGGACACCAUGGGACAGGCCAGUACAAAGUAUUUGGCUUAUUUAAAUUUUAUAAAAACUCUUCUUAAAGAAGGAGGUGUUAAAGUUUCUACUGAAAAGUUAAUUGAACUAUUUGAGGUUGUAGAUCUUCUUUGCCCUUGGUUUCCGACUGAGGGAACUCUAGAACUUAAAGAUUGGGUUGAGAUUGGCAAACAAUUCAAAAUUGCUCAUAAAGGGGGACAUUUUAUCCCACCCACCAUUUGGUCAAUCUGGGCUUCGGUUCACUCUGUCUUAGACUCCUUACAGACUCAGGAGGACAAUAUGGAGACUGAUCCCUCUUUCCUCUCCUCUGAGGGAGGUCGAGGAAGCGCUCAGCUCUCUUUCCCCUGAGGAUACUACACAAAUUGAGAACGUAAUUUCAAAGGAGGACUUCCACUCUGACAUGCCUGCACCACUUCCACCUACACCAGAGGCUACUGCACCCCCAUUGCCGCUUUAUGAUGAUCUUUUAACUGACCUAAAUAUACUAAUCUCCCCCAAUCAGCAAAACUCAGCUGAAACAUAUCAACAGCCAUUGCAGCCAGACCCUCCUGUCUCUCCUCACUGUUUCAACGCUGCCGCUGUGCAAAUAGCAGAUGAGACCAGGCAGCCUGUAAACGAGUCUAUAAAUUAUGUUUCUAUGCAGCCCGGUACAGAGGCUCCGCUAUAUGAACAGCUCAGAAAAGAGGCUUCCAAUUCUCGGCCCGGUAAUGAGGCCCUCAAUCCUAUUUCUCCUAAUCGGACUCAGUUAGAGUCACAGACUCCCUUGAAGCCCUUUCCUAUAAAUCAGACUCGAGUAGAGUCACAGUCUCCCUUGAAGCCUGGUUCCUUUCCUGCAAAUCGGACUCAGAGUCACAGGCUCCCUUGAAGCCUGGUCCCUUUCCUAUAAAUCAGACUUGGGUAGAGUCACAGGCUCCCUUGAAGCCUGGUUCCUUUCCUGCAAAUCGGACUCAGAGUCACAGACUCCCUUGAAGCCUGGUUCACACUUGCCGUGGCAGCCUGGUUUUCAGGCCCAUGAAAGACCUGCUCAGCAGGUAAUCUGCUGUCACCCUGGCUUUCAGUUUUUUGACUCUCCUUCUAUUCAAAAUUCUACCUCUUUUUCUGCUCCUGGUCCGGUCGCAACUGCUGUUGCCAAUACUACCAUUGCCGCUCAUAAGCAACAAAUUACAUACAUCCCUGAAGAUGACACUCCGCUUAUGAGGGCUAUAGUUCAAGCAAGGGAAUAUGGGGAUCCUGAAACUUGGCAAUUUCCUGUAAUUUUACAACCUCCAGUACCUGCCACCCCAGCAGUACAAAACCACCCACAGCCUGUUGUUGAUCCUGCCCAGCAGGCGGCUGACCCCGCAGCUCAACAAGAUCAAGAGGCUGAUAAUCAAGCCCCUCAGCCCGAAACUCAGGCUGCUCAGGUAAAUAAUCAGCCUCCGCAGUUGCCUGCUCCUGGGGCACAGCCAAUACCUGGCAUUCCCGCUGUUCAGGUGGUAAUUCAGCCUGACCCCAUCCAUCCAGGCCAGGUUCAGCUACGCCCUGCUACAUGGGAAAGUUUUUCUUUUAAAUUCCUCAAAGAUUUUAAAGAAUCAGUGAAACAAUAUGGCACCAACUCUCCUUUUGUCCGUUCCACAUUAAAAGCCUUAGGAGAAGAUAAACGUUUGGUACCCUAUGAUUGGGAAAUUUUGGCAAAAUCAAGUCUUAUCUAAAUCCCAAUAUUUACAGUUCAGGACUUGGUGGGUUGAUGCUGUCCAGGAACGCAUUUGUCUUAGGGCACUAAUCCUCCUGUUAACGUUAUGGCUGACCAGUUACUGGGAAUGGGUCAAUGGGCCGCAAUCCGACACCAAACUAUACUAAAUGAUGAGGUUAUUGAACAACUGCGAAAAUUGUUGCUUAGAUGCUUGGGACAAAAUUCAAGAUGAUGGUAAAGUAUGCCCAUCUUUCACAGCCGUCAGACAGGGACAACAUGAGCCCUACCCAGACUUUAUUACUCGUCUUCAAGACGCAGCAGAAAAGGCUAUUCCUGAUAGCCACGGCCAAAGACUUGUUGUAGAACUUAUGGCUUAUGAACAAGCAAAUCCAGAUGGUCAGGCGGCUGUUUGCCCCGCCAAAGGUAAAAUUCCACCGGGUGGUGAUAUACUCACCUCCUACAUUAAAGCCUGUGAAGGGGUGGGAGGAACUCUCCAUACAGCAACGAUUAUGGCACAAGCUAUGGCCUCUAUUCGAAUGCCUGGACAAUUCUCUGGCCAAUGCUUCAUAUGCGGCCAGAAGGGACAUGCAGAAAGAAAUUGCCCUCGGCGUGCAGGUGGCCGUCCUUUACAUCACCACCAACAACAAAAAGAAACUUUUCAGCAACAAGACACCCCACCUUCUGCUGUAUGCCCACGAAGCCAAAAGGGUCUUCACUGGGCAUCUCAAUGCCAUUCCAGAUUUGAUAUUGAUGGCAAUCCUGUACGGCCUUUUAAAAAUCAGGGAAACGGGAUGAGGGGCCGGCCCCAGCCCCCUCUAAACAAUGGGGCAUUCCUCAACUCUCAGCCGCUGGCGUCCAGCCAGACAGGAGCCUUCCCAGUUUAAUCCAUUCAACCUCCACCCCAAUUCCCACUUCAGCAAUUUGUGCCACAGGAUCUAAUGCCUCAGCCCCAACACCAAUCUCAGUACAAUGCUUGUCCCCCGUCACCACAGGCUCAGCAGCAGUAGAUCUCUGUUGUACCAGAAAUAUUUCUUUUGUUGCCUGGAGAGCCACGUAUUGCUGUUCCUACAGGUGUUUUUGGUCCCUUGCCGACUGGCAGUGUCGGGUUGCUACUGGGACGUUCAAGUUUAAAUUUAAAAGGUGUUCAAGUACAUACUGGUGUAAUUGAUUCUGACUAUUCAGGUAAAAUUCAUAUUAUCAUUAGCUCUGCAGUCCCUUGGAAUGCAGCAGCUGGGGACCGCAUUGCUCAACUCUUGAUAUUUCCUUACAUUCCUUUGGGAUCUAGUUCUAGUACAAGAAAGGGAGGUUUUGGUAGCACAGAUUAUCAAGGUAAAGCAGCCUACUGGGCCAGCAAAAUUUCUGACACUCGUCCUGUGUGCUCCGUGCAUAUUCAGGGAAAAAAGUUUGAGGGAAUGAUUGACACGGGCGCUGGUGUGUCCAUUAUCGCUUUACAUCGAUGGCCCCGACACUGGCCAAAGGAGCAUGCCUCCACAGCAUUCGUGGGUGUUGGUCAGGCUUCACAGGUAUAUGAAAGUUCCACAAUUUUACAUUGCACAGGCCUGAAGGACAGAUUGGAACUAUUCGCCCCCUCAUUACACCCAUUCCUGUUAAUUUGUGGGGAAGAGAUCUUUUAUAUCAAUGGGGGGCUCAGAUUACUUUUCCUAAAGGCAGUUACAGCCAGCAGAGUAAAGAUAUGAUGACCAAAAUGGGAUUUGUUCAAGGUCUGGGUUUAGAAAAAUCAGCACAAGGCAUCACUGAGCAUAUCAUACCUACUCCUAAAGCAGACUCUACAGGACUUGGUUAUUCUUUUUAGAAGUGGUCACUAUCAAGCCUCCAGAACCCAUCCCUUUGACCUGGAGAACUUAAAAACCUGUCUAGGUAGAUGAGUGGCUGCUCCCAAAAAAUAAGCUGGAGGCACUUCAUAUUUUGGUUCUUGAACAGUUAAAAUUGGGACACAUUGAACCUUCUUUUUCUCCUUGGAAUUCACCUGUUUUUGUUAUUCAAAAGAAAUCUGGUAAGUGGAGAAUGCUUACUGAUCUUAGGGCAGUAAAUGCUGUCCUUCAGCCUAUGGGGACAUUACAACCCAGUUUGCCCUCCCCCAGUAUGAUUACUGAGUAUUGGCCACUUAUCAUCAUUGACCUUAAAGAUUGCUUUUUUACCAUUCCUCUGGCCCCUCAGGACUUUGAAAAAUUUGCUUUCACUGUUCCAGCCCUUAACAACGUUGCUCCUGCAGCACGUUACCAUUGGAAAGUCCUACCUCAAGGUCUGCUCAAUAGCCCCACUAUUUGUCAAUAUUAUGUGGGAUGCAUAUUAAAGCCAGUUAGAGAUAAAUUUCCCCAAUGUUAUAUUAUUCAUUACACAGAUGAUAUUCUUUGUGCAGCACCUUCACGCUCUGUAUUAAUAUCUUGUUUUUCUGCAUUACAGCAAGUGGUCACAGCAGCUGGCUUGGUUAUCGCCCCAGAAAAAAUUCACACUUCAUCUCCUUAUCACUAUUUAGAGAUGCAGCUAGAGGAUAAGGUCAUUAAGCCUCAAAAAGUUCAACUCAGACGAGACUCUUUAAAAACUCUAAAUGAUUUCCAAAAAUUAUUUGGAGAUAUUAAUUGGAUUCGUCCCUCCCUACGCAUUCCUACUUAUGCUGUGUCUAAUCUUUUUGCAAUAUUACGGGGCAAUCCUGAUUUACGCAGUAAAAGGUCUUUGACUCCUGAGGCAGAUUCUAAAUUACGACUUAUAAAAAAAUGCAUUCAACAGUCUCAGGUUACCAGAGUAAAUCCACAUUUACCUUUUGAAGUACUAAUUUUUCCCACUGAACAUUCACCAACAGGACUCAUUAUUCAGGGACAUAAUUUAAUUGAAUUGUGUUUUCUCCCACACAGCUCUUUACGUACACUAACUAUCUAGAUCAAAUUUCUACCUUAAUUGGUCAGGCUCGUUCUCGUCUCCUUCGUCUUUCAGGAACAGAGCCUCAAAAAAUCGUUGUUCCCCUUACCCGAUUACAAGUUCAACAGGCUUUGCUACUUGCAUUGCUUGGCAAGUGCAUUUGGCACGUUUCCCAGGUAUAAUUGAUAAUCACUAUCCUCAUGUAAAAUUAUUUCAGUUCCUUAAACUCACGUCUUGGAUUUUACGUAACAUUACUAGAAACACCCCAUUACCUGAAGCUGUCACUGUUUUCACUGAUGCUUCCUCUAAUGGCCGAGCAGCAUAUACAGGACCCAGAGAACGUGUUCUUAACACAGGGGCUAUUUCAGCACAACGAGCUGAACUGCCUGCUGUUAUGGCUGUCCUUGAAGAUUUUCCUGAGCCAGUUAACAUUUUCUCUGACUCAGCGUAUGUCGUACAUGUUGCUCGCAACAUUGAAACUGCCUUAAUCAAAUUUCUGCCUGAUGAUAACCUAUUCCUUCUUUUUCAAAAGUUUCAGUCUGUGCUCAGAGCAAGGUCUUCUCCUUUCUACAGUACUCACAUUCGGGCCCACACACCCCUCCCCGGACCCCUCUCGGCAGCAAAUGCCAGAGCUGAUACAUUAGUUACUCCCGUUUUUACAGAUGCAGAAAAUUUUCAUGCUUUAACUCACGUCAAUGCUGCGGGACUCCGAAACAAGUUCCCCCUUACAUGGAAGCAAGCUAAAACUACUGUGCGUCACUGUCCUACUUGUCAAGUGUUAAUUUUACCACCACUGUCUUCAGGAGUUAACCCUAGAGGACUUUCACAGAAUGCUCUUUGGCAAAUGGAUGUGACUCAUUAUCCUCCUUUUGGCAAGCUUUCUUUUAUACAUGUAACUAUUGAUACCUUUUCUCAUUUUAUUUGGGCCACUUGUGAAACGGGCGAAAGUACAGCUCAUGGUAAACGACAUGUGCCUUCCUGUUUCUCGGUUAUGGGCUGUUCUGAGAAACUAAAAACUGAUAACGGCCCCGCCUACACUAGUGCUGCUUUUAAAAAGUUUCCUCAGACAUGGGCAAUUACUCACACAACGGGCAUUCCCUAUAACUCUGGAGAACAGGCCUUGGUUGAACGAGCCAAUAAAACACUCAAAGAUCAACUUCGUAAACAGGAUACUAAAUCAAAGGGAGAUGCUAUUACUCCUCAUGCCCAAUUAAAUCUGGCUCUUUUCACACUAAAUUUCUUAAACUUAACAAGAAAUCAACCUUUCACAGCCGCAGAACAACAUUUCACUGGAAAUAAAUUUGAUCCACAAAAAGGAAUGCGGGUAUGGUGGAAGGACGUAAAAACUAACACAUGGGAAUUAGGCACGGUCAUAACUUGGGGUAGGGGUUUUGUUUGUGUUUCCCCAGGAAAAGAACUACAGCCUGUGUGGGUCCCCUCCCGACAAUUAAAAUUGCACCAUAACUCCAAAGAUGAAACGCUCCCAGAAAGAAAAGGCAAAGACCCAUCGGAAACAAAAGAGCAACUUUCACCGCCUGAUACAUACACUUCAUGACAUCCACAUUGAGACAAAAUCUCGCCGUGUGACCUACAACACCUCUCGUUCAACCCCACCUACUUGGGGUCGAAUACAGAUUUUAUCUCAUCAAACAGAAAAAUUCUUAACAGAAAAAGGAAUCCCAAAAAUGACUGGUAAUAUAAUUCUGGCUGCCUUUAUGGUAGUCAGUGCAGCGGUAAGUAUACCACCGGUCGGGGCAACUCAAAAUUAUACUUAUUGGGCAUAUGUUCCUUUUCCCCUUCUAAUUCGGUCUGUCUCCUGGAGGGACUCUCCAGUAGAAGUUUACACUAAUAAUAGUGCAUUCAUGCCGAUCCCUAAUGAUGAUCGGUUUCCAGCUCAACCGGAAGAAGAAGGUAUGCACUUUAAUCUGUCAAUUGGCUAUAAAUAUCCACCAUUAUGUAUUGGGAAGUCGCCUGGUUGUUUAGCUUAUUCUUAACAGAAUUGGAUGUGGACUGUACCGUCCUUUACAAAUGAUUCUUAUCAAGUAUAUAAUGUGUUCAGUACUAACUCUUUUCAACUUCUCACUGUCAAACGUACCCCACAUGAGGCAUGGAGAGUUCCUCUCACUACCAAAACUAAUAAAACAAAAGGACUGCCGGACUGUCCAAAGAAACCUACAAAUGGGCCUUUUAUAGUGACUUCAAUUUUAUGGGAUAAUUGUAAUGCUCCCAAGGCUGUUGUACUCCAAACUCUAGCCAUGGGUAUUGUUAUUGAUUGGGCUCCAAAAGGACAUUAUUGGCAAGAUUGCUCCAGCAAAAAUACCUUAUGCUCGGAGUUUAUUUAUUCCUUAGAUUAUAUAGAGCAUGGGUGGCAGUCUUACACGAUGAGACAACGGGUGUCUCCUUACCCAUUUAAAUGGAUGGACACAGGUAUUGCUCCUCCUAGACCAAAAAUUAUUCAUCCCUUUUUUACCCCAGAACAUCCUGAACUAUGGAAAUUAGCUGCAGCUUUGUCGGGAAUAAAGAUAUGGAACACUACCUAUCAGCUCCUUCGUACUAAAACCAAAACACCCACAUUCAACAUCACCCUUAUUUCUGAAUGGGUGAUACCCAUUAGGAGCUGUGUCAAACCCCCUUACAUGCUGUUGGUUGGAAAUAUAAUUAUGAUGCCUGAUGCACAAACUAUAGAAUGUCAUAACUGUAAGCUGUUCACUUGCAUUGAUGCAACUUUUAAUCCCACUACAAGUAUUCUCUUGGUAAGGGCUAGGGAGGGGGUAUGGAUACCAGUUUCUCUACAUCGUCCAUGGGAGUCUUCCCCCUCUAUUCACAUAGUCAAUGAAGUUCUUAAAGACAUCCUCAAAAGAACAAAGAGAUUUAUUUUUACUCUUAUUGCAGUCCUUGCAGGACUACUUGCGGUUACUGCAACAGCAGCAACUGCUGGAGUUGCCAUCCGCAGUUCUGUUCAAACUGCUCACUAUGUUGAAGCAUGCCAGAAAAAUUCCUCCAGACUUUGGAAUUCUCAGGCGCAAAUUGAUCAAAAAUUAGCUAAUCAGAUUAAUGAUCUCCGCCAAAGUGUAACCUGGCUGGGAGAUAGAGUUAUGAACUUGCAACACCGUAUGCAAUUACAGUGUGAUUGGAAUACUUCUGAUUAUUGCAUAACGCCUUAUGCUUAUAAUCAAGAUCAACAUAGCUGGGAAAAUGUCUCAAGACAUUUAAAAGCCUGGGAUGAUAACUUAACCUUGGAUAUUUCACAACUUAAAGAGCAAAUCUUUGAGGCUUCACAAGCCCAUUUAUCCACAGUUCCUGGCUCACACAUUUUUGAAGGCAUAACUAAACAAUUACCUGAUUUUAAUCCCUUCAAAUGGCUCAAACCCGUCAGAGGAUCAUUGUUGUUACUGGCAUUAUUAAUAUUGGUAUGCUUAUGUUGUCUCCUUUUAGUCUGCAGAUGCCUCUAAGGAGUCCGAAACCAAGUCCGAAGUCAACAACAAGCAAUGAUGGCGAUGGCGAUUCUAGUUAAUAAAAAGGGGGGAGAUGUGGGCGGCAAGCCACCCAGGCACCGAGGCAAGAGACAGAGGACACGAGCUGUUCCAGUAUAAUAAAAUAUAAAACAAGAAUAGUUAUACCAGAUAUAGAUCUUAGAUAUGAUUAUAUACGAAUAUCAUUAAUCAUGAGUUUGUAGCAAUUACUUUUUAUUCCAAUAUUAUGAUAAUCCUCGCUCUAUAAUCAUAGCCUAGGAAAAACCAGGCCAUACAGAGAUAGGAGCUGAGGGGACAUAGUGAAGUGUGACCAGAAGACAAGAGUGCGAGCCUUCUGUUAUGCCCGGACAGGGCCACCAGAGGGCUCCUUGGUCUAGCGGUGACGCCAGCGUCUGGGAAGACACCCGUUACCAGGCGGAUCGUGGCCCAGCCGUAGCAAAAGGUGUCAACACCCGCUACUUAGCAGACUGGGAAAGGGGGGCGGUCUCCCUUUCCCCGGGGGAGUUUAGAGAAGACUCUGUUCCUCCACCUCUUGUGGAGGGCCUGACAUCAGUCAGGCUUGCCCGUAGUUAUCCGGAGGCCUAACUGUCUCCCUGUGAUGCUGUGCUUCAGUGGUCACGCUCCUAGUCUGCCUUCAUUUUCCAUCCUGUACACCUGGCUCUGCCUUCUAGAUAGCAGUAGUAAAUUAGUGAAAAUACUAAUAGUCCCUGAUAUGCAGAAAUAAUGGCAUAAGCUGUCUUUCUCUCUGUCUCCUCUCCCUCUCUGCCUCGGCUGCCAGGCAGGGAAGGGCCCCCUGUCCAGUGGACACAUGACCCAUGUGACCUUACCUAUCAUUGGAGGUGACUCACAUUCUUUACCCUGCCCCUUCUGCCUUGUAUCCAAUAACAGCGCAGUCAGACAUUCAGGGCCACUACCGGUCUCCGCACAUUGGUGGUAGUGGUCCCCCGGGCCCAGCUGCCUUUUCUCUUAUCUCGUUGUCUUGUGUCUUUAUUUCUACACUCUCUCAUCGCCACACACAGGGAGAGACCCACCGACCCUGUGGGGCUGGUCCCUACAAGAGGGAAGUGGUUUGUUCUGCUCUUCUGAGAUGUGUUCUUAUGAGAAGGAUCCAGCAGCAGCCUGCAGAGAUGUGGGGCCUGAAAAGAGGCCUUGGGCAGCUCUUCUCAACAGGUCUUGGCCCUCUAGACUGCCUUCAGCACAGUUUUGGGGAGAAACAGGGAGUGUUCCUUUUUCAAUCUAUGCGCUCAUCCCCUGAGCCGCCUGACCCAGGGUUUAGAUGCUCCAGGGCAGCUGAUUGACACCGGUGGGAGAUGGAGUCUGGCAAGCAGGUGAUGAACUGGGAAGCGCUGCAGAAAUGAGGGGGCAAGCGUGGCCAGUCCCUUCUGAGAGGAUGUGUUUGGAAGAGAGUGGGCACUGGCGUGGCACUUUCCCCUUCUGUGGAAAUGGACUUGGACAGGAUGCCACGUAGUGCUGCAGUUCUGUGUGGGGCAGGUUGUGGCUGCAGAGAAGCACUGGGUGCAGAAACAGUCCCCCAAGCAGGUGCGAGGGUCAGGGUGCUCUAUGCUGCUCCACACCUGCCGUGCGAUGACAUGUGGUCACCGGGCUGCCCAGCACAGUUGUUUAGAAAGCAGGUUCAAAGGGCAGUGUGCUGGGAGGAAGUGCUGCUGUGGAAACUGCAAGUUUUGGACAUGAGUUGCUCAGGUCUUUUCAGCCGUUCAUUCUUCUACAACAGAAUUGCAUUAUUCACUUGCUCAGUGUGAUACCAUGUCCUUUAAAAAAUUAUUUGAAUAUUGAGAACAGGUUGUAUGUUCCGUCUCUAGCUGCUAGAUCACAGGCAGGGCACAUCUUCUCAAAGAGUAACAAGGCAUGGGUUGUGUGUGUUCUCUUCUCUUAGUGAGGAGAAAGGCCUGUUUGGGUUCAUGAUGAUUGUUGGGGUCUCUUUUCUGUACCUGAUGUUGGUUGCACAAAGUCCGUUUCCAUUCUCUUAGUCUAGACAAUUUUCCUGAUAUUUAAACUGGAAUUUUUGCUCCAAGAAAUUCCAGGUCAUUUAGAAUGUGUUAAGAUUGAGUUUCUGGGCUACACAUCCUUAUAAGAGCACCCGAUUCUGGUUUCUGUUUAUUUAUUUAUUUUUUCGAGACAGUCUCGUUCUGUCACGCAGGCUGGAGUACAGUGGCAUGAUUUUGGCUCACUGCAACCUCUGCCUCAUGGGUUCAAGUGAUUCUCGUGCUUCAGGCUCCCAAGUAGCUGGGAUUACAGGUGCGCACCACCUACAUUAUUUAUUUAUUUAAUUUAUUUAUUGAGAUGAGGUCUCACUAUGUUGCCCAGGCUACUCAAACUUCUGGUCUCAAGGGAUCCUCCCGCCUCGGCCUCCCAAAGUGCUGGGAUUACAGGCAUGAGCCACCGCACACAGCCUGAUUUCUGUUUAAAGAGUUGGAUUAUACAGGGACCCACAGAAUUGGGAACUGACAGUACUGUAGAGCCUGUGUAUGAAAAAGAUGGACAAGCCUGACAUUAGCAGCUCACUGUUGAGCACACGGCCCCCUGCAGAAUAAACAAGUGUGUGGUUUCCAUCUGAUGAAGGUGGGCAUGUAGUUCCUGGACAGUCCAGUGACUUCCAUCAUUCCACAGACAAGAUCAGAUGCCCUCUCUACCAGCCACCGUGCUGGGACCGGCCCAAUCUGUGUUUCAAAUCAGCUUGUAGCACGCAGGGAUUCAAAAUAUUUAAAGAUGAGGUUUGAAGGUACGUCUGGAGACCAAGGACGUUAGUUCUGGAGGUCCCCGUCUCCUGCGUGUUUGCGGAGCUGGUGACAGUGCCCUCUCCCCGUGCUGGAGAGGGCUGAGGAGAGGCUGUGUGUCUCAGCAGGAUGCCAGUCAGGAUUCUUCUGGCUAUGGGCUUAUUUUUUGCAAUAAAUUCAUCGUUAAAGUCCCAUUCUUUAACCUGUUUUUUCCCUUUUGGAAUUAAUUCGACUGCAGUAGGAAGGGGUUGUAGCUGAAAGUGACCGCUGUGCAUUGAAUGCCAUCAGAAAAGGCUGAUGAGAUUUGCAGGGAAGACUUGAAGCCUCACUGAAAUGCGCCUGGCGUGUGUUGACCUUUGCAGUGGAACAUGUGGGAAAGGGGCCCGCACUCACUUUUCAGUUCUGCCUCGGUGAUUCCAGGAGCCCCGGGGUUGGGAGCGGGGACAGGACCUUGCUCCUGAGUCUUAGGUGUGGUGUCUCUCGCCCCUUGCUGCAUUGGCGGGACCCUCGGUGCCGCGGCCUCAGUUGCAGGGCGGCCAGGGCUGCUCCGUGAAGGAGGCGCUCACUCCAUGGAGCUGCAGGACGCUGCAUUCUCCUCACUCUGGCCAUUGCCGCUGUCCUUCCUGCUUCCCCUUUUCUGGUGAGGGAGGGCUCCAAGGACUUGCUGGCUGGUCCCCAGAUGCCAGCACUCCUGCAUCUUCCCCUCCUCUCCUGGCCUGUCACUUUGUUCCUCCUCUGUGAGGGGCCCAGGCUCGGAUGCCCGGCCACGGCCUCUCUUUCCAGCCUGUGCGGCCCAGGUGGGUCCAGGAUGUUCCCUGCUGCCCUGUUCUCAGCAGUUCUUGUCUUCUUCAGGCUUUUCCUCCUUGCCUAGAGAAAUUUCCCUACAUGGAAACCCCUGUGGCUGUACAGUCUUUUCUGACCAAUCUGCUGGGUUUUUUGUUUUUUGUUUUUGAGACAGAAUCUUGCUCUGUCGCCCAGGCUGGAGUGCAUUGCAGUGAAAGUGGCAAUAUCUGGCAUUUGUAGAUGGAAGCUGGAACUCAGUACAGGUGGGAACGUAAGCGCCUGUCGUUGCUGAGGUGGGGCAGCAGUCAGUUGCCAGCGCGUGUUCAAACACAGGCUGAUUCAACAGUUCCCGUUCUGGGAAUUUAAGAUCGGAAAAUAAUUAAAGUGUAUGCAAAGAUUUUGCUACUAGAAUAUUUGUCACAGCUUUGAAAUAGGGGAGAACUGGAAAUAUCUUGAAUUUCCCUCAGGCAGAGAUAGGUAGAAACAUUGUGGUGAAGUCUGUGUCGUCCCUCAGGAUCUGUGGGAAAUUGGUCCCAGGACCUCUCUCAGAUACCAGAGUCGGAGGGUGCUGAAGCCCUUGCUCUGAAGUGGUAUAGUGUUUGCAUAUAAUCUGUGCACACCCUCCUGUGUACUCUGUCAUCACCAGAUUACAUAUAAUGCCUAAUGUAAUGUAAAUGCUAUGUAAAUAGUUGCUUUACUAUAUUCUUUAGGGAAUAAUGACAAGAAAAAAAGUCUGUGCAUGUUCAGUACAGAUGCAAUUUCUUGUUUUUCUAAUAUUUUCUAUCCACUGUUGGUUGAAUCCAUGCAUGUGGAGUCAACCUAUGGAUGGGGAUGGCAGACUGUACUCUCCUGACAGGUGGUUACAAAGUAUUUCUAUCUGAAAAGAGCUGGCUGCAAAGCAGCAUGCCCAGUAUAACUUUCCUCAGGCCCAGGGAAAAGCUUGGAGGGAGGUUCCCACAGAAACAUUAGCAGUGGUUUCCUGGGCCAGUGGGAUAAGGACCAGGCAUUGUGCUAGCAGUGGAGAAACAGUGGUGAAUAAGGUAGGUCUGGCUCUGUCUCCUGGAGCUUACUGGACUGAAGAUGAACCUUUCUCCACUAAUUUUUAUUCUGAAAAAUUUCAAAACUAAAGAAGAGUUGAACGCAUAGUACAAUGAAUAUCCCUAGCCUUUCACCUGGAUUCUACCAGUUGUUAACCUUUUCCAUAUUUGCUUGUAUAUGUUACCCUCUCACCUCCCCAAAUUUUUUUCUAUUAUUUUUAUUAUUUGAAAGUAAGUCACACACAUGAUAGCAUUUCACCCCAGAAUCCUUCUCCAGGUGCCUUCUGAGCUCAGAAGCUGUCUCCUCUACAACCUCAUCAUUAUCACAUCCGAGAUAGAAUUAACAUUGCAUUUUCUUUUUUUUUUUUUUUUUGUUUUUUUGAGAUGGAAUCUCAUGCUGUUGCCCAGGCUGGAGUGCAGUACUUUGAUUUUGGCUCAUUGAAACCUCCACCUCCUGGGUUCAAGUGAUUCACCUGCCUCAGCCUCCCAAGUGGCUGGGACUACAAGUGUGUACCACCGUGCCUGGCUAAUUUUUGUAUUUUUAGUAGAGAUGGAGUUUUAUCAUAACAUGGCAUUUUCUAAUGCAAAGGUGACAUGCAGCCUUCCUCAGUGGUCCCCAGUCCUCCUCAAAGUCCUUUAUAGAGACAGUUUUACUCUGUUGCCCAAACUGGAAUGCAGUGGUGUGAUCAUAGCUCACUGCAGCCUUGAACUCCCCUGGGCUCAAGCCAUCCCCCAGCCUUAGCCUCCUGAGUUGCUGGGACUACAGGCCUGUGCCGCCACACCUAGCUAAUCUUUUUUUUUUUUUUUUUUGAGAUGGAGUCUCAAACUUGUCACCCAGCCUGGAGUGCAGUGGCACGAUCUUGGCUCACUGCAACAUCCGCCUCCCAGUUUCACGCCAUUCUCCUGCCUCAGCCUCCUGAGUAGCUGAGAUUACAGGCAUGCGUCACCAUGCCUGGCUAAUUUUGUAUUUUUAGUAGAGACGCGUUUCCACCAUAUUGGCCAGGCUGGUCUUGAACUCCUGACCUCGUGAUCCAGCCUCCUUGGCCUCCUAAAGUGCUGGGAUUACAGGCGUGAGCCACUGCACCCAGCCUAAUUUUUGUAUUUUUAGUAGAGGCAGGGUUUCACCAUGUUGGUCACGCUGGUGUUGAACUCCUGACCUCACAUGAUCCACCCAACUUGGCCUCCCAAAGUGCUGGGAUUAGAGGCAUGAGCCACCAUGCCCAAUCUCUGCACCAUGCCCAGUAUCCCUUAGUGGCCCUUCUGACUUUACACUGCUUUUCCCUCCUGACAGCGGGGCCCUGCUUUCGUGGUCUGUAUCCUGCUUGAGCAAGGUGCCAUGAGGCUUUUCCUAGGCCUUGACUUUGCUGUAGCUUCUAAGGUGUCCUGUGGCGGCAAAAGGGACGUGUGCUCUGUGGGUGGGUGCAGCCACCUGUAGAGCUGCAGCUAUAUCCCCAGGAUGGUUGUGUGACUGAUGGUCCUUGGGGAGCCCAGCAGUGAGGAUCUCAGCAGCCCACCUGUCUCAGAGUCCCCGCUGUGCACCCAGGCCCAGGGCUCAGUGAGUGAGAGCUCUCCGACCUCGGUGGGGGCGGGGCUAAUUGACCUUCAGACCCACCGUGUGCCAGUGCUGGCUGGCACACAGCACUGCUUGGACUUCCCCUGUGGGAAAGGAUGGGGACAGAUCAGUCUUUGGAAGAAUGGAGCGCUGGCUUUGCUCAGCCCUGUUCUUGGGAAGGUUUGAUCUGGAGAGCCGCAGCAGCCAGACCCUGGGGAGGCAGGUUAGUGAGCAGGCUCCCAACUUACGAGCUAGGAAGGCUGACGGCUGUUCAUUUCCCCCCAUGUGGACCUCAUCGGGGGUCCUUCCUGAGGGCGAGCGCUAGGUUCGUCUGCGUUUCUCUCUCCCAGUUGGGCCUGACUCUGGACGCCAGGCUGAGGGAGUACACAGCUCCUUCAGAGCACGGGCUCAGACGCUCAGAUGCUCGGAGCGCUUCCGGCUGCUUUUCCAUGGGUAACUCACAUGUUCUUCCUGCAGGCUGGCAUUUGUCUUUCAUGGCUUUUUUCCAUCGGUCAGAAUUACAGUCUUUUGAUUGUAUGUACGUACCUGGUUAUUAUCAGAUAUCUAGUUUAAAAUGUGCAUCUGAAUAUAGAUUUUCUUGGUGAACGCAUUGCGUUCUCAUUCCGUAAAAAGUCGGAAGCUCAAAAUGAUGCUUAAAAAAAAAUCUUAGCAAGCUCUCCUGUGCAGAUGCUGCUGGCGCUGAGCUUUGUGCCUGGGGCAGAAAGGGUGAGGACGGCCCCGGUUGGUUUAGGAAAAGUGGUUAUGAACAGAACGGGCCCCAUGCUCCUGGCCUGAGGAAAUGUUGUGUGAAAAAGAUGGCUUCUACAGCUUGAAGGGGGACGGUCCACCUGAUGCUCCUGUCCCUCUCUGAGCCCCAGGGGCAGAAGGGAAACAGUCAAUAGCACGGCCGUUGCAGAUGGUGCCCAUAGAGGGAGGGUAGUUAGUGUCUGAGCAGGAGAGGGUGACCGGCCUUUGUGGGGCUGCUUCAGAGAGCCGGGCAGAGUCUGGGCCCCAACGUGGACUAGCAGGGGAGGAGCUCUCCUGGCUGGGGUGGCGACUCGGGGAGGUCUGGGUUGCCUGAGCAGGGAAUCGGCCUCCAGUGGGGGAGGUUCUGAGUGGGACGCGCUCUUCGUGUGGGCCUGGAGGACCUCUAGGCGGCCUGCACUCGCCUGAUACAGCUGGCUUCUGCUGGGAGG
rnacentral:lncRNA from 1 species